UUGUGUAUCAGCAAAUCUAAUAAGCAUUGAGCGCAAGUGAAAGAGAUUGGAGAACCUCUCAAAGCAAGAUAAUUUGAAAUUUCAAUUGAAUUUCUCAUCAAAAUAUCAAAUUUGAUAACUGGGAAGCGAUUUCUGACGUACCCGGACAAAGAUGAUUAUGUUGACCCGAGUUUGUUUGGUAUAACAAUAAACGUGAGUCCAGACGCUUGUCAGUUCGUGGAACACAUUACAGGCUACUAGCGGUGGACAGGAGAGCAAUGAGUCCAGAAGCAGCACCCAUGGAGGCCACGUAGUUGAAAUGCGGGGUGAGGCCACGGAGAAGAUAGAACGAGCAAAACACAAGGACGGCCAAGAAGA